rnacentral:tmRNA from 1 species
GGGGUCGAUUUGGUUUUGACAGCAAGACCAAUUGAAUAGUAAGCACGUCGAGCGCUGGGAUAUAGCUCGUAAAUAUCAUAUUUCAACCUUUUUAAACGGCGAUAAUAAUUACGCCUUAGCUGCAUAAUCCGAAUUACAGUAGGAUAAUGCUUCACCAUUACAAGGUAAUGGGCUAAGAUGUCUCUGGAAAGCCCUGAUUUAUGGCGUUCCAUCAAGAGGCACCGGUAAAGUAAAUCUAGGUUUCAUGACACCUUUAAGUGAAACUGAAAUUAUAAAGGUUAAGGAUAACUUAGGUGGUUUUCAGCCAGAGUUAUCUCGAAAACUCAAGAGAAAACUAAACGUGUAGAAAGUUUUUGAAUUGCUUGUUUGGACGGGAGUUCGAGUCUCCCCGACUCCACAA